rnacentral:lncRNA from 1 species
AACUCACUGAGGCAGCCUGCCAUCUAGCUUUUUCACAGCAAAAUAGGCUUGCAGACUGCAGAUGAGAGACUCGGGAGCAGAGACAAUUUUAACUUAGCCAUCCCUAAUUUAUCUCAAGCUUUUUCAAUUCAUCUUCACUGCUCUGUGCACAUUGGAACACCAGAUUGUCAACCCCUGGGAACAGAAUGCAACCAGGGAACUAGAGAGCUGUCACAUCCUGAGAAAUAUUUAAAUUGUGCCGAUUUUCUUCUGGAGUGCUGAGCAGAGGGAAUGAAACUCUCCAUCAAGUCCUAGCUUUGCGGGCAAUAGAUCAGAGGAUACUGCCAGUUUUUCUAAUGGAUUAUUGUUAUCGGGCAGGUUCUUCCUGAAGAGGAUCCAGCCUCCUGGGGACAGACUAGACCACAACAUACUUUCCUUUUGAGUAAUAAUGCAUAUGGAGAUUGUAAUUUUCAGUUUAAAAUAUAUGUGUGCUUAAAAUUUAAGGAAUAUGUUUCCUUAAGAUUUGCUUCAGGACUGUCCGAAGAAUGUUUGAUUUUUCUAAGGUAUGUAAAUUCUAAAUGUGCCUGUACACAUCAGCAUAGACUCUACAUGUCUGCUGUUUAAAUAACAAAAAUGGAUGCAAUAGAUUCUAAAUGUUCAGCAAUAUUUUUGAAAAGACUGAUGAAUAAUUAAGGAUUCCUGAGGGAAGGUCCAAUUAGUUCUCUAGCAGUUUGUUCACAUUUUCUUGACUUUAAAUCACAAACUGCAUUAUGAAAUUAAAUGUGAGUUUAAAGUACCAGACUUUUUGUUUGUUUGCUUGUUUAUGUUUGUAUUAUCUACUUCAGAUAGGUGAGAUCUGACUAACGUACCUUAAUCCACCUAAUAAUGUUAGAAAGUAAGCUCAGGAAAACUUUCAUGAGAAGAAACAAAAGUGUAUACAUUGUAUGUCUUUAAUAUUAUAAAUGAUCUUGUCCAUCAUGCUGCUUGCCAGUGAUCUUCUCUGUGGACAUACUGUCUUUUAGGAAUUUGCAGUCUUGAUCUUGUAAUAGAGUGAUAGUCAUUUAAGGUGGUGAUGAACCACUGAAAAAUGGAAAAGAUGAAAAGAGGCAGUCCUACCUUAAAUGAGAAAGCAAAUGAUGAAGUUAAGAAAUAGCUUAUUUGCUCAGUCAACUUUUACUUAAAAAUUAGUAUUUUUGAUCACAUAACUAAAGAUUUCCUGAAAAUAGCUGUCCUUUAAAUGAAUUCUUACCUUUUCCCUCUGGCGGUUCUCUGUGUCAGUUUUUUAACUCCAUGAUUUGAGAUAUGAAAGCAGAAAUAGAAGUCAGAAUAUAUACCUGAUGACUCUUGGUUUUCUCUCAUUUUUGCAUCUUAUGUUUCA